rnacentral:tRNA from 1 species
UAAGGUAGGGCUUGAGAGUGGAGCAGUUCGUUUACACCGAAAAGGUUUCUGUGCAAUUCAGAUUAUCUUAA